rfam:Pseudomonas fluorescens Pf-5, complete genome.
CUAGUCUGCUGCGGUCGCUGCAAAAUCAGCGACCGGGCCUGAGAACCCGAUCA